rnacentral:rRNA from 1 species
UAAAAAAUAUUUUUAUUUUUAGUAAAUAGUAUUAAAAUUAUUUAAUUAGUGAUAGUUAAUAAUUACCGUGAGGUAAAUUUGAAAUAUUUUGAAAUAUUUAAUUUUAAAAAAGUAUGUGUUUCUUGCUUUACCUUUUGUAUCAGGGUUGAUCAAAUUUAUUUAAAAUAUUUUAUUGUCUCGAUUUUAUAAGAGCUAAUAAAUUAAUUUAGUUAGCGUUGCAUGGUUAUUAAAAAUAUUUAUUAGAUGAGAAAUUCUAUUCGUUUAUAAUGGUAUCUAGUUUUUUAAGAAAUAAAUUUAAUUUAUUUUUAAUUUUUCUUAUUUUCAUUUAUGAAGCCUAGAUUAAUUAAAUUAUAAUUAAUAGGGGAUAAGCUCUAUUUAUAUUUUAUAAUACGGUUUAAUUUAUUUAUAGUAGGAUUAUAAUCUUCCAUCUUAUUAUUACGUUAUAGUAUAUUUUUGUUUAUAUUUGAUUUUAUUUUAUUUAAUUAAUUAUUAAAAUUUUCUAAUUAACUAUUAAUUAGUAGAAAUAAUGAUUAAAUUAGUAUAUGAACUUGUUGUUUAUUAUUUAAUUUCUUGUAAAUUUAUUAAUAAGGAACUCGACAAAUUUUGUGUUCGCCUGUUUAUCAAAAACAUGGCCUCUUGUUUAUUUUUGAGGUCUGACCUGCCCAGUGAUCAUUUUAAACGGCCGCGGUAUAUUGACCGUGCAAAGGUAGCAUAAUCAUUAGUCUUUUAAUAGGGGGCUGGAAUGAAAGGUUUAACGAAUCAUUAAUUGUCUCAUUUUUAUAUCUUAAAAUUUAAUUUUUAAGUUAAAAAGCUUAAAUUUUAUUGAAGGACGAGAAGACCCUAUAGAGCUUUAUAUUAUUUUGUUUAUUACAAUAUUGUUUUAUAUUUAGAGUAUUAAAUUAUUUGGUAUUUUGUUGGGGUGACAGAAAUAAAUAAUUAACUUUUUUGUUUUUUAAACAUUGAUGUAUGAAUUGUUGAUCCUUCAUUGUUGAUUAUUAGAUUAAGUUACCUUAGGGAUAACAGCGUAAUCCUUUUUUGGAGUUCAAAUUUACAAAAGGGCUUGCGACCUCGAUGUUGGAUUAAGAUUAUAAUUUGGUGCAGUAGCUAAAUUAAUAGGUCUGUUCGACCUUUAAAUUCUUACAUGAUCUGAGUUCAGACCGGCUUAAGCCAGGUCGGCUUCUAUCCUCAAAUUUUAAUUAACUUUUAGUACGAAAGGACCAUUGUUUUGAAAUAAUUUUUAUUAUUUGAUUAAAAUUAACUAUUUUGGCAGAUAAGUGCUAUGGAUUUAGAAUUCAU